CUACGGGCGGCAGCAGUGGGGAAUAUUGCACAAUGGGGGAAACCCUGAUGCAGCCAUGCCGCGUGUGUGAAGAAGGCCUUCGGGUUGUAAAGCACUUUCAGCGAGGAGGAAAGGUUGGUAGCUAAUAACUGCCAGCUGUGACGUUACUCGCAGAAGAAGCACCGGCUAACUCCGUGCCAGCAGCCGCGGUAAUACGGAGGGUGCAAGCGUUAAUCGGAAUUACUGGGCGUAAAGCGCACGCAGGCGGUUGGAUAAGUUAGAUGUGAAAGCCCCGGGCUCAACCUGGGAAUUGCAUUUAAAACUGUCCAGCUAGAGUCUUGUAGAGGGGGGUAGAAUUCCAGGUGUAGCGGUGAGAUGCGUAGAGAUCUGGAGGAAUACCGGUGGCGAAGGCGGCCCCCUGGACAAAGACUGACGCUCAGGUGCGAAAGCGUGGGGAGCAAACAGGAUUAGAUACCCGCGUAGUC
rnacentral:rRNA from 1 species